CACCUCUCUGGGUUGCAUCUGAAGAGUUUCCAGUACUCUACCAGUCUUGACUGAAGGAGGGAGAAGCAAGCAGAGGCAUAUCCAUUCCAUCCCUAGCUCGGGCAGUGGCUAGCGAGUGGGAGACAGUCUGCUACAAGU